AUACGUAGGGGGCGAGCGUUGUCCGGAAUGACUGGGCGUAAAGGGCGUGUAGGCGGCGGUGUAAGUCUGGAGUGAAAGUCCCGCAUUCAAUGUGGGAAUUGCUUUGGAUACUGCAGUGCUAGAGUGCGGAAGAGGUAAGUGGAAUUCCCAGUGUAGUGGUGAAAUGCGUAGAGAUUGGGAGGAACACCAGUGGCGAAGGCGACUUACUGGGCCGUAACUGACGCUGAGGCGCGAAAGCGUGGGGAGCGAACAGGAUUAGAUACCCUGGUAGUCCACGCGGUAAACGAUGAAUGCUAGGUGUUGCGGGUAUCGACCCCUGCAGUACCGGAGUAAACACAAUAAGCAUUCCGCCUGGGGAGUACGGCCGCAAGGUUGAAACUCAAAUGAAUUGACGGGG
rnacentral:rRNA from 1 species